ACAAUGGGCGCAAGCCUGAUGCAGCCAUGCCGCGUGUAUGAAGAAGGCCUUCGGGUUGUAAAGUACUUUCAGCAGUGAGGAAGGUGGAUAUGUUUAAUAGCAUAUUUCAUUUUGACGUUUAGCUGCAGAAGAAGCACCGGCUAACUCCGUGCCAGCAGCCGCGGUAAUACGGAGGGUGCGAGCGUUAAUCGGAAUUACUGGGCGUAAAGCGCAUGCAGGUGGUUUGUUAAGUCAGAUGUGAAAGCCCGGGGCUCAACCUCGGAAUUGCAUUUGAAACUGGCAAACUAGAGUACUGUAGAGGGGGUAGAAUUUCAGGUGUAGCGGUGAAAUGCGUAGAGAUCUGAAGGAAUACCGGUGGCGAAGGCGGCCCCCUGGACAGAUACUGACACUCAGAUGCGAAAGCGUGGGGAGCAAACAGGAUUAGAUACCCUGGUAG
rnacentral:rRNA from 1 species